rnacentral:rRNA from 1 species
UACGAAGGGGGCUAGCGUUGCUCGGAAUUACUGGGCGUAAAGGGAGCGUAGGCGGGUUAUCAAGUUGGAGGUGAAAGCCCAGGGCUCAACCUUGGAAUUGCCUUCAAAACUGAUAGCCUAGAGUAUGAUAGAGGUAAGUGGAACUCCUAGUGUAGAGGUGAAAUUCGUAGAUAUUAGGAAGAACACCAGUGGCGAAGGCGGCUCACUGGCCCGGAACUGACGCUGAGGUACGAAAGCGUGGGGAGCAAACAGG